UCCACAACUCGCACGCUGCAUCCAAUCCUGGCCCAAUCCCACGCCCUGCCCCUUUCCCGUCCAAUCUCUAGUCGCCACACCCUUCCUCCUCCCGCACGAACCCUAGCAAACGCCAGCCGCCACCCUCACUCCUCCCAGCCGCCUCCACGCUCUCUCCCUCCUCCUCCAUCCUUCCGCAUCUCAUCCAUAUCACCGGAUCCAAGGCGUGGGAGCACGGAGGCGAGCUUCUACGGUGGCGACAGGAGACUGCAGGCAAAGGGCGACCCCAUGGAUCCGUGUCUAGCCCUCCUAAUACCGGUUCCCAUGGAUCCGAGGCCUGCGGGCACGGAGGCGAACUGCCCCGGCGGCGGCGGCAACUGCAGGCAAGGGGCAAUGGUGGCGGUGCUUGAUCUGAUCUGCAGGAGAGGGAGAAGAUGAUAGGGAGAGAGAGAUGGAAGGAGAGGAGGAAUAAAGGGAGAGGAAGAGAAGAGGGAGGUGCGGCGUCGGCCGGGCGAGGGUCACCGGCCGGUGCUGGCGAGGUCGAGCGCGACCUGGCGGUUGGUGGUGGCAAAAACGGCAUAGAAGUCCACCACUGUGAGCUGCUCGAACCGUAUGCGCCCGCCGGCUUCCUUUCCCCUUCUGGUGGCCCCUCCCUACGUGAUCUCCUUCCUUCAAUCUCUUGUGUUGCUUCUCUUCCUGUUCCUCCCCGUCCAUGCCUUAAUCCAAAAAUAUCAAUUUGUUGAUGCUUCAUACAUGUGUGCAAUUCCUUAAUUAUAAGUCCCAGUUUAUGCAACUUUGAGAAUGAAGACAAUGACGGGGAGGAGGGCUUGCCUUUUCCUCGGAGAGGAGGUCGACCGUUGGAGGUUUUGUGAGGGAAUGAAGCAAAACAGCAGGAAGGAAAUAGAGAGGGUAGUGUGUCAUCAUGCACAGAGUCUGCCUUCCAUUGGCGUGUGCACAACAAGGACCAUGCAUUGGAACAUCAAAUUCAACCGGCUUACAAGUUGAAGAGAAGGUUACGUAUGCUUUCUGUGAGCAGUACUGAGUAAUCUAAUGAUCUGCUCCAUGCAAUCUAAGAAAAAUAAAUGUGCAAGCCAUUUCUGAUAGAAGGUCUGGGUAUCAAUUAUUUUUGUUUGUGUCUACAAGCUUUUGACUUUGUUGCCUGGUCUACUGUUUAUUUGCAAUAUUGGAUACUCUUGCCAUUUCUUGUGAAUACUUUUUUUGUUUGUCGUACUCUCGAUAUACUGCAUAUUAACUCUAUAUUGCAGAAUUUGUGAAUAUUCAGUACUUCACCGCGGUAAUCUACAGGAAGGCAAGGAUAACUAUAUUAAACAUUUCAUGAGAUCCUUCCAAUUAUUGGCACAAACUCCUUUUCAAGAUAUUACGAGUGUGGUUGACUACCGGAGAUUAUCAGAUGGAAAUAACAUACAUCCUUCAUCUUUGUUUAGAGGUUUAAUUAGAUGCACAAGCGUAUAUGAUUCUGUGCCAUAUCCCUUUUCUAUCCAGCUGCUGCAUUCUUUUCUUUCAUAUGUGUUGUCAUGGUCAUUAGUUUAUAUUGUGUUAAUAUUCAUGAUAUGGCCCAGAGUUGUUUUCCUUUUUUGCUCGUGCUUGCUGCUUGCAUGAUUGAACAUCUGGUGUUUGGUCUGAUCAACCAUUUGUGUGCAGUAGUAUUCGUUUUAUCCUUGAUCAUGUGCGUGUGUACAUCUAAUGAAGUAGUUUUAAUUGAUAUAAAAGUUUUCAUUUAUUGCAGCAAUUUGAUUUUAACCAGCCAUGGUCUACAAGGAACAUUAGGAGUAGACUAUAAUUUUCCAUCUGGAAAGUGUUUUCUAUGCAGAAUUGGUUAGCAUUAUAUCUAGAUACAACGAUUACUAUUCAAUAGAUAAUUUACAUGUUGCCGCAAACUUAUGUUUCUUGAACUAUAUAGACUGAUGGUGAUGAUAUAUACUUAUAUGCCCAUUAUCGCUAUAUAGCUAUUGUUCUCUACCAAUGGUAUGUUUGCAACUGCAACCCAUAUUCCAAUGACCGCCACAGCCGAGAAGACAUGUAUCUGUAGGAAGAAUCACCACGACGGACUGCAUCUGCCUAGACGAUUGUUGCAACGGCCAUGAUGAAGUGCAUCUCUCAAUUCCGGGAUCAGCAUGCUGGAUGAAUCCUCCUUGCCUGUUAAGUUGCAACGGUGCAACCAAACACCAUGGAGGCUUCUGUAUUAGGGACGGUGAAUCUGCAUCGACAGUGAUGGAUGGAAAUUGCUCGCCCUCCUUCCUCCAUAAACCACGGGGACCUUGUAUAGUUGUAUUAGCCUCCCCAUCUAUCCGUCAGGAAGCCCGGACUUUCCCUGCUAUUGCUGUCGAAAACGCUACCAUUGUAGAACAUGAACUGAACUUAAGUGUGGCACAUGGAGCUUCAGGUAACAAAUCUAAAAGAACCAAAAUUAAUGUAUGACAUGUCUUUUGUCACAACGCCUCUCUCUUAUUUUGUAUGACCUACUGCAUGUUCAAUGGAGUGUACCAACUACCAAGUGCUAGAAGCAUCACUAUAGAUUAAUUAUGUACCAGAUCACUUUGCUUCAGCCUUUUAGGAGCAUUUUUCUAUAUUACAUACAUGUUCGUGCAACACUGCCAAAUACAUAUAGCCGGGAAAUGCGGAUGAAUGGGGUUGGGUUUAAUACACUCAUAAAGAAAGCAAGUGUUCCUCUGUUUUUAAGUCAAUUGCUUUUCACUGACCAUAAUCAUAUUCAAUUCAGUUACUUGUAGAUGAAGGUGCUUACUGAUUCACUCUUUAUGCAACACUCAUCUUUUAUACCUGAAUGUGAAGAUAACUUGAAGCCUCAAAUGGGGAUGACAUUUGAAGGACUGAAGGCUGCGGAGGAGUUCUACAAGUCUUAUUCACACCACUCUGGUUUUGGAGUUCGUAUUGGACAUCAAAAGAAGUUAGAAAAUGAGGUCAUUCACAAUAAAAGCUACUGUACAUGUUUGGUAAUGAUACCUACGAGAUAGUAUCAUGGGUCGAGCACCAGUCAUUGCCUUGUGUCACCAGAUAAGCGUCAUUUAAUCAAAUCAAAUCGUUGAGUUAGUGAGAGGACAAAGAACACAUUGUACAUAUGAAGCAAAGCAAGCAGAGCUCAUUAAUACAAUUUUAUUAGUUUUACUGAAUGUUGAAUUCUAUGUAAUGGAUGAGAAGUUGUGUUUAUUCUCCAAUUAUUUGUCCUAUUUCUAUCA